GGGCAGGGCAGGUACCAUGUGCAGAAAGGAAAGAGCUGCGAGAUGGGGAGCAUGACCCCAGAGGCCUCCGGGGUACCCCACAUAAAGGGGGCUCAGGCAGGGCUGGGUCCCCCGAGAGAACCCCUGCAGCUUCAGAGCAUGAGCCCCCCUCCACCUGCCCCUGCUUGGUGCAGUCCAGCUGCUGGCAGAGAAGGUGGGGGUUGGGGAGGGACCCCUUGUCAAAGCCCAGCUUUUUCAUUCCAAGGAUGGAAAAACCAAGAUAUCAGCAAAGAUGGCACUUUAUCACCAAUAUUCUUUCAACAGCAUUCAUUCCACACAAGCUCCUAC
rnacentral:lncRNA from 1 species